rnacentral:rRNA from 1 species
UACGAAGGGGGCAAGCGUUGUUCGGAAUUACUGGGCGUAAAGGGCGCGUAGGCGGCUUAUCAAGUCAGGCGUGAAAUUCCCGGGCUCAACCUGGGGGCUGCGCUUGAUACUGAUGAGCUUGAAUGCGGGAGAGGAUAGUGGAAUUCCCAGUGUAGCAGUGAAAUGCGUAGAGAUGUGGAGGAACACCGAUGGCGAAGGCAAUCCCCUGGGCCUGCACUGACGCUCAUGCACGAAAGCGUGGGGAGCAAACAGG